UCAAAAUUGGUGGGCAUAAUUUGGUUUUCUAAUUUGGUAAACUGUGAACUCGCACUCUGACGGAGGCCGGAUAGGGAAGCGAUCACCGGGCUGAGAUUAAUCGGAGAAACUUCCAUGGCGAAGCGAGAGCUAUCUCCAAUACACUGAAGAACUUAAAGUUCAUGCAAAUGGCCUCACAGAAAGAGGAGAAAACCUAGAAAGAAGAAGAGGUCUUCCCUGCUGCCUGCACCGCUGUUAAAAGAUGUGUCGUUAUAGUAGAAGGUGAUCCGCAUCCAGGGGCAACACGUGGACGCAUGUCAUUUCUAAGUUUCAAUCCUUCUAUUGAUAAACUAAAUGAAGAAGCAUCCACCCCUAGUGAAACCGAAUCAGCUGCUACAAGUUCUGGUAGGAAAAAUGAAUCCUUCAGAAAAUGGGUCUCCUCUAGGUAGGUCAGAUGACUUGGGAUUAGAAUCUCCAAGCAGUGAUUCCAAUGGCAAUCAUAGGAGGAAGCAGCACUCCAAAUAAAUCGAGGAAGAGCAAUCAAGAUUCAAACUCAGCUAGAGGCCGCAGCUCACAGAAACUAAAUAAGCGUGAAAAGCUAGAUUGGAACGUUCUUCGGUCUCCAAAGCAUCACAGCAAGAAGAGGUAAGUGUUGUGAGAGAUAUCUGGAGUUGCAUGGGUGAUGAUUUGCUCUUAGAUUAUUGUUUGGCACAUAACUUGCCAUCUUAGUCGAUUAUGUUGUAUCCCAUUGUACAUUGGUAUCUAAAUUUUGUCCCGCCGUUGAGGUAAAGAAUGAGGUUUUUUUUUGUUCUCUUCAUUUGUAAAAACAGAUGGCCAUAGCCUAUUUUUCUCUAUCAAAUGGAUACAUAAUUUUUUAUA